GUGCUGUAAGGUAGCAGCGCUGGUUGUUUGUUUGUAAGCGGUCGUUGAAGUGCACUGUGCUCAGCACAAACACACAAACACACAAACAUCACUGACUGCAGGAAGAACUCGUGACAGUCACGACUGACUGAAUGUUUAAUGUCUGGUUCCGCUUGACAGCUCAUUCUCAGGACACGGUAUGUUCAAGAGGUGCUUCUUUUUCGAAGUCCUCACAAAGUGGAGAUGUAUUGGGGUGGUGUUAUUGCUAUGUGCAUCCUCAAUAUUACAAACCCAAUGCAUGGAAGAUGAAAAUAGGAAUUGUGGAGACCCUGCUGACCCUGACUUUAACAAUGCCUUGCAUGUAAUUUGGAAUAAAAGAAGUGCAAAGAUAGUUUGCAUGGAAAACUUCUUUCACGUUGGACAAUUUCCGUCCGCCAUUUGCAACGAGAAUAACAGAUGGGAGUACACAACAAAAUGUGUGCAGCAUCGGUGGAUCUCACCUAAAUUCGGUGGUUUCUUUCCCUUGAUUUUUCCACUAGCAGGCUCGGGACGGGUUGCAUUUUGUGCCGAUGUAACUCCAGUCACACCAACGCUUGUACGUAACAUUGUCACCAUCUAGGUUUAUUUUUCAUAACAUCAUCACCCAUCAGCUCUUUACUACAGUUUUAAAUCCUAUCAGUCACGGUUAAAAUAGUCAGACUCGUCAUUACAGUUGUAGGUAAGCAUCAAAAUG